UUCAUUUAUUAGGAUAGCUUAGUGAUCCUAUUGUGGUUGUGUACUAACACUGCACUUGCUCAUAUUUUGUUCAGUAUAUGGAAUCUUCUAGAAGCUAUUUGCAAACCUCAUUUAGAAGAUGAAUGACAAUUCCAAAUUCAAUGUUGUCAAAAUGGAUAAGAGUGAUGUAGAGAUGGUUGAUGCGGAAAAGAAUGUCCCUGCCAAUGAUGUCCUUCUGUCCAAUGAGUCACCGGUCAAGUACGAAAACAGUGUUAAGAUUGGCAAAACCAAUGUUGAGGACAAGACACAUGCUAAAAGUUAUUCGAAGGGAGAGGACUUGAAGAAUGCUAGAAGUGAGUUAGCGGACAAGAUCAAUGCUAAGAGUUAGCCACAGGCACACAACAAUCGGUGUUUGAGAACAAAACAACUACUAUUGAUUCUAGAACAGAUGAUAUGGUAAGUGGUUAUGUGACGUUGACUAAUAAUGAAGUACAGAAUAUUAAUUAAGGAGAAGUGAAUGAAGAAUAUUGAUGAAGGAGAAGUGAAUGAAGUUUAACAGAGUGAGAAAAUUAUCUAUGAGGUCAAUAAAAAUAGGAAUAAUAUGAUGGUUGAUAGAUAAGAGGACCCUCAAAUGAAGACAAAUGCUACAACUAUUACCACUGCUGGUGUUGCUAGGUCGGACGAGUUUCCAAAAGUGACAAUCGAAGUUAUGGAUUCUUCUGCAUUUUUUAGGUGAGGAUGAUGAAGGGUCACCUGAGGAUCAAGCUGCAUUUAUAGGAAAACCAAGCACGUUUUACCGGGAGAAGGGCAUAGAAUUUAAACUACCUUGGUUUUACGUUAACAACCUAAUUGCCUAAAGUUAUGGAGAUCAGUGAUCAGAUUAGGUUGUUGUAAUCCGGUAAGCCUUUUAUUAUGCAAUUGCGUUUUACUUUUUUAAUUGAAUCAAGAAAUUCAUAGGAUAUUAGUCACUUCCCCAAAAUGUCCUCAGCUAAUUAGAAG